AGUCAUCUCUUCUAACAUUGCUUCCUUCCACUUAGGUUCUGCCAUAGCCUUUUGCCAGGUACUUGAAAUACAGAUGGAGUUUAAUGCAGCUAUAAAGCUUUGAUAAGAUAGAGACACAUUCUUAUAUGAAACAUAGUUAGCUAUAUCAUAACAGUAACGAGCACAAGGAACAAUUGGGCGAGUACCUUUUGAUUUUGCAAUAGGAAUAUUAAGAUCAGA
rnacentral:lncRNA from 1 species